AGCCAGUUACCGAAGCUGCGGAUGCAUCGCAAGAUGCGUGGUAGGAGAGCGUUCUGUAAGCCUGUGAAGGUGGGUUGUGAAGCCUGCUGGAGGUAUCAGAAGUGCGAAUGCUGACAUGAGUAGCGUUAAAGGGGGUGAAAAGCCCCCUCGCCGAAAGCGCAAGGUUUCCUACGCAACGUUCAUCGGCGUAGGGUGAGUCGGCCCCUAAGGCGAGGCAGAGAUGCGUAGC
rnacentral:rRNA from 1 species